GGUGGAUUUGGUUGCGGAUUAUGCAACUUAGAAUAUAGAUGUUGGUUCUUCUUCUGCUAGCAAUUGAGUUGUUGGUACCACCUCCGCUGGUGGUUGACCAGUUUACGUUCCUCCACAUCUUCGAGACCAUCCACCUUCUGCAAACCCACUUGCGCCCACUUCAUUUGGCCUUGCUUCAAGUAAUGACCAACCUAGAUAUGAUAGAUCUCCUUGGAUUGUUCCAAGGAAUGAUUAUAACAACUGAUCAGGGUAUGGUAAUAGUGGUGGUGGUAGUCGAAUUGGUGAAUGGGG
rnacentral:lncRNA from 1 species